GGCAGCACAGAGCCUGAAGCAGGGCUGGAACCUGGGAACAGGGAUUAUGACCUAGGCUGAAGACAGAUGCUUAUCCGACUGAACCACCCAGGAUGAGAACCAUGGACAUCAGUCACCAGCUCCUCACUGUGGUGCGUUCGUGUCACCUGGAAUGCUUUGAAAAGUCCCAUGCCCUGGCUGAGUCUCAGAGCAACGCCACCAGAAUCUGGGGUCCCUCAGACGGCUCCAAUGGACAGCCACGUCCGUUGGACAGCUGAUACUUCCCAAAAACCUCUGGAAAACUUGCCUCCAAUUGCAAGUAACCCUUGAAAACAAACUUUUUGUUUUAUCUAUGUCUUAGCCAGACGGACAUGGCUGCUGGAUGACAUACAGGAUGCCUGGUUAAAUUCAAAUCGAGGAUUUCCAUUUUUAGGCAAAGAUUGUCCACGCAAUAUCUGACACUGGCACACGUUAAAAAAUUUUCAUUGCUUGUAUGAAAAGCACAUUUAACUGUAUUUUCAUUUGUGAAGCAAAAUACAAGUGGUGCUCCAGAAAUCCCUAAAGAGCAAUAUAGAUCUUCUCUGUGUGUAAAGGGGCUUUGGAAAGGUUGCAUACUUGAGGAAGAAGCAAAGAGAUCAUCUUGCUAAUGCCCAGUGAAUGGAUCUAAACGUUUACACCACUUAUCUCUCUUCCCCAGGAUUUCAUAACCACUGGCUCAACUCCUUUGCUGGUUUCCCCUGUCUAAUUCAACAAAUAAAACACUAACUCCCCACC